rnacentral:rRNA from 1 species
GAUGAACGCUGGCGGCGUGCCUAAUACAUGCAAGUCGAGCGAACAGACGAGGAGCUUGCUCCUUCGACGUUAGCGGGGGACGGGUGAGUAACACGUAGAUAACCUACCUAUAAGACGGGGAUAACUUCGGGAAACCGGAGCUAAUACCGGAUAAUAUUACGAACCGCAGGGUUCGAUAGUGAAAGGUGGCUUUGCUAUCACUUAUAGAUGGACCUGCGCCGGAUUAGCUAGUUGGUAAGGUAACGGCUUACCAAGGCAACGAUACGUAGCCGACCUGAGAGGGUGAUCGCCCCCCCUGGAACUGAGCCCCGGUCCAGACUCCUACGGGAGGCCGCCGUAGGGAAUCUUCCGCAAUGGGCGAAAGCCUGACGCAGCACCGCCCCGUGAGUGAUGAAGGUCUUCGGAUCGUAAAACUCUGUUUUUAGGGAAGAACAAUCGUGUACGUAACUGUGCACUUCUUGACGGUACCUAAUCAGAAAGCCACGGCUAACUACGUG